AAUUUUUGCCGGAGCUUCUGCUUCCGUUUUUUGUAAUCCGAGAAGUUGUAUUGGCCCGUUACAAAGCCCAUUUGUGAUGAUUAUAUAUUUUGGAAACUUUUUUUUUUAAUUAAUAAAGAAAAGAAAAGGAAUAAUGUGUAUGUAUAUGGUUGCUAAAUAGUUUAAGAGCUAAAGAUGGUCACACUCUUCAGGGCUUAGGACUAAAAGAAUCUCACAUGGGAAUCACCUGCUUCCUCGGUCUCUCUACCUUGUAGCAGAUUCUCCGUUCGACUGUUGUCUCUUCUCUCGUCUUACCUCUUAUUCAUUCUGUAGAUACAACAACAACCAAU